rnacentral:rRNA from 1 species
UACGAAGGGGGGCUAGCGUUGCUCGGAAUCACUGGGCGUAAAGCGCACGUAGGCGGCUUUUUAAGUCAGGGGUGAAAUCCUGGAGCUCAACUCCAGAACUGCCUUUGAUACUGAGAAGCUUGAGUCCGGGGAGAGGUGAGUGGGAACUGCGAGUGUAGAGGUGAAAUUCGUAGAUAUUCGGAAGAACACCAGUGGCGAAGGCGGCUCG